rnacentral:rRNA from 1 species
GAUGAACGCUGGCGGCGUGCCUAAUACAUGCAAGUCGAGCGAACAGAUGAGGAGCUUGCUCCUCUGACGUUAGCGGCGGACGGGUGAGUAACACGUGGAUAACCUACCUAUAAGACUGGGAUAACUUCGGGAAACCGGAGCUAAUACCGGAUAAUAUAUUGAACCGCAUGGUUCAAUAGUGAAAGACGGUUUUGCUGUCACUUAUAGAUGGAUCCGCGCCGCAUUAGCUAGUUGGUAAGGUAACGGCUUACCAAGGCAACGAUGCGUAGCCGACCUGAGAGGGUGAUCGGCCACACUGGAACUGAGACACGGUCCAGACUCCUAAGGGAGGCAGCAGUAGGGAAUCUUCCGCAAUGGGCGAAAGCCUGACGGAGCAACGCCGCGUGAGUGAUGAAGGUCUUCGGAUCGUAAAACUCUGUUAUUGGGGAAGAACAAAUGUGUAAGUAACUAUGCACGUCUUGACGGUACCUAAUCAGAAAGCCACGGCUAACUACGUG